GCUUUUAAAAUUGUUUGUGGCCCAUUUGAAAUCGUUUUGCUAUCUUCUUCAAUCGUGUCCGACGAUUCCCUUCCACAGCCAUGGUUUCCACUCUCUCCAAAUCUCUGUUACUCCGAAUAAUUGACUUUGAUGUUUACACUUUCAUUUAAGAUGUAUCGUCUCACCUCCUUUUUGUUUUCCUCAUAUAUUAUCUCUUUCUCGAUUCUUCAUAUACCCUAUCUACAACCUCUUCGGACGGAAAUCAAACUAUGGCCAUGAGAUCUGCUUAAUCGUACCGGAAAGUAUCAUGUUGCUGUAUAUUUCACUGACAUCUCCUCGGUCCAGCCGAGUCAGAACUAAGCUUUGAGCUUCUCCUUAUCGGCAAGCAGUGCAGCAAUGGCCCACAACUCGAAAUCUACAGCGUCAAUAGCACAACGAGUUUACUUCGAUAACAUAUUCCCCUCUUUGCGCGAACCGCUUUGGUUAUCAAAUCCACCAAGUCGGGUUGGUCAUCAGACUACCUUAUACUCAUUGAGGAAAAAGCAUUGGUUCAUAUUUUUUUUCCGUUCUUUGUUGUUUGUAAAUUUAUCUUUUGUUGUUUGUACAACAUCUAGAACAUGUGAUCAAGCCAACCUUUCCAGGCAUCCAUAUGAUUAUUAACAGAAAAUGUGAGAGCUGGAAUAUAAACUUAGUCGUCACGGAAAGCCUCUAGCAACUGAAACUGGGGUAAAAUUGUGUAUUUUUCUAUCUUUAAUUUCUAUUCUUAGAUAUUAAGAUUUGAUUACUGUUAAAAAAUUACUGUUAUGGUGCAGGGAAAGUUAUUACUUUUCGAUCAAAUAUUCAAGAAGCGUGUUGAUGGAGUGUAUGUCUUCGCCACUUUUGCUGCUAAUAUUUAUAGAUUUAAACCAUGAGUUGUUAUAGUAACUGAGUUCCUAUAACUCUUAACCAAUAUAAAGUGAAUCAGCAACAAAACAAAACAUGCAAUUACCAUCUUUCGUCUUUUUUUUGUGUGCUUCUUUUACUACCAGGUUCAUGCGACCUUGAUGGAUCUGGUUCACAAGUCUGUGAAUGAGAUGGUGGGAUUGAACCAAUACCAAACUCUGAGUGCGGCGAUGAAAAAUACAGCCAUAUAGUCAGUGAACAAGAAGUGGGAGCGAAGUAAGAACGCAACACUGCAGCUGGUGGACAUGGAGUGCAGUUACCUCACUGUUGAUUUCUUCAGGAAGCUCUCCACAGCUCUGAGAAUGCCGAGUGUUUUGCUCCGUUGUGGUCGGUGUGGUUCAGUCCAGAGAAUAUUGCUGAUGCUUAGACCAUAGACAGGAAGAGGAGAAGCGUUUUGUAAGGGAGCUAUUGAGGCAGAGAGGAAGCGCAAGAGAAGAAGAAGAAGAAAAGGUACAAGAGAGAGAAAAGUGUGAAGCUGGAGAGAGAAAAGCUGCUAGAGUGAGAGUGAGACAAGAAAAGGAACAUGCUGUUGGAAACAGAAUUUUGGAAUGGACCGGCUGCUACACAAGUUUUGCAGCUGCGGUUUGGACAUAGCUGCAACAGUUAUCUUUUUUUUUUUUAGAAACAGCUGUGAUCAAGUCAAUUUUUUCAGGCAUCCAGAUGAUUAUUAUCUUCUUGAAGUUGACUGUUUACGAGUCUCUUUAACCUCUGUAGUUACUGUGAAGACAGAUUGAAAACUCACUUCCAAACUCAAAUGAACAGCAAUGCUCUCUAUUCAGAGAUCAUGUGGAGAGAUCCCAGAGCUUUUUACACAUAUUUCUAUCAUGGCCGCUGGAACUGGAAGCACUGCUUUUUUCACUGUGAUUUGUAGCUUUGCUUCAAGGCGUGUACCCUUUUGCGCAAACAAGUUCUUCAACACUGGACUUGGUUUCAGUUUGGUCAUACUGCUUUGGGCUGUGGAUAGACUCGGGAGGUGAUUACUUAGCGCAUACUUCUUCCAUGGGUAAGACAUUCUGAUGUUUGAUUGUGUUCUUGCGAUCAAUGAGCCUUAAUCAGCAGCUCCUGCUGGUUGUGGCUUCUAAGUAAGCAACAAGAAAAAGAGUAAUUUCUGAGGAAGCAAAAGCCACAACCAAGUUCUUUAUAUUCUUAUAGGAAACAUCUUUGCUCCUAUGUAAACUAAAUAUGUUUGUCCAAUGACCUGAAGAAUAUAUAAAUUGGUUUUUGUUUGUGUGAUCAA